UGAGGAAUAUUGGUCAAUGGGCGAGAGCCUGAACCAGCCAAGUCGCGUGAAGGAAGACGGCCUUAUGGGUUGUAAACUUCUUUUGCAGGGGAAUAAAAAGUAGGACGCGUCCUAUAUUGCAUGUACCCUGCGAAUAAGCAUCGGCUAACUCCGUGCCAGCAGCCGCGGUAAUACGGAGGAUGCGAGCGUUAUCCGGAUUUAUUGGGUUUAAAGGGUGCGCAGGCGGGCUUUUAAGUCAGCGGUGAAAUCUGGUCGCUUAACGAUCAAACUGCCGUUGAAACUGGGAGUCUUGAGUAAAGAUGAAGUAGGCGGAAUUCGUUGUGUAGCGGUGACAUGCUUAGAUAUAACGAGGAACUCCGAUUGCGUAGGCAGCUUACUAAACUAUAACUGACGCUCAAGCACGAAAGCGUGGGGAUCAAACA
rnacentral:rRNA from 1 species